rnacentral:rRNA from 1 species
CCUACGGGAGGCAGCAGUGGGGAAUAUUGGGCAAUGGGCGCAAGCCUGACCCAGCAACGCCGCGUGAAGGACGACGGCUUUCGGGUUUUAAACUUCUUUUCUCAGCGACGAAGCAAGUGACGGUACCUGAGGAUUAAGCCACGGCUAACUACGUGCCAGCAGCCGCGGUAAUACGUAGGUGGCAAGCGUUAUCCGGAUUUACUGGGUGUAAAGGGCGUGUAGGCGGGAAAGCAAGUCAGAUGUGAAAUCCAUGUGCUCAACCUGUGGCCUGCAUUUGAAACUGUUUUUCUUGAGUACUGGUGAGGCAGACGGAAUGCGUAGUGUAGCGGUGAAAUGCGUAGAUAUUAGGAGGAACACCAGUGGCGAAGGCGGUCUGCUGGACAGCAACUGACGCUGAGGCGCGAAAGCGUGGGGAGCGAACAGGAUUAGAUACCCGAGUAGUC